GACGAACGCUGGCGGCGUGCUUAACACAUGCAAGUCGAACGGAAAGGCCCUGCUUUUGUGGGGUGCUCGAGUGGCGAACGGGUGAGUAACACGUGAGUAACCUGCCCUUGACUUUGGGAUAACUUCAGGAAACUGGGGCUAAUACCGGAUAGGAGCUCCUGCUGCAUGGCGGGGGUUGGAAAGUUUCGGCGGUUGGGGAUGGACUCGCGGCUUAUCAGCUUGUUGGUGGGGUAGUGGCUUACCAAGGCUUUGACGGGUAGCCGGCCUGAGAGGGUGACCGGCCACAUUGGGACUGAGAUACGGCCCAGACUCCUACGGGAGGCAGCAGUGGGGAAUAUUGCACAAUGGGCGGAAGCCUGAUGCAGCAACGCCGCGUGCGGGAUGACGGCCUUCGAGUUGUAAACCGCUUUCGCCUGUGACGAAGCGUGAGUGACGGUAAUGGGUAAAGAAGCACCGGCUAACUACGUG
rnacentral:rRNA from 1 species